rnacentral:lncRNA from 10 species
GGCCUCAGCGCCUCCUUACGGAAUUGGCGUAAGGCAAAGAGGCGCGGCUGGAAGAACCAGACUGAGAAAGUGCCACAGGGCGGGGGCCGCAUCCGCCCCUCGGCUUCUGGUUACUGACCCGACGGCUUUGUGAGUGAAAGUGAAGAGACACUUCGAGGAGGUCCUGGAACCAAUCCCCUCUGAUACUGAGAGACAACUAUUACACAA